AGAACUACUUGCUCAGCCUGAAAUGGCAGGCUUCUGUGUCCUUGCCAGUCUCUGUGCUGACAGGAGCAAGGAAGGGGCUCUGUCCAGGGACACCUUGCUAUGCUGCAGACACUCUCAUUUAACCCUCAUGGAAGCCCAAGGGCUAGGAUUCUAACAGCAGGCCACAGCUGUCCCUGUCCUUGGGGCUUGCAGACAACUGGAUAGACGAGUGUGUGGGUCCACGAGGUAGCUUAGAGAGGAAAGGUGUUGGCUGUCAAGCCUGAUGACUCAGGAUUCAGAUUAUGAGGACAGAGAACCGAUCCGCAGGAGCCCGUGUCUUCAUGCAGGAUUCUGAAAAUAUGAAGCUUUACCUGAGGAGGAAAUAGCCAUGGCACUGGGGCAGUAGUUGAAAGUCUUACAUCCUGCUUGGCAGUCAGGGGGCAGAGAGCAAGAGACGCUGAACCUGAACUGGGCUUUUGAAACCUCAAAGCCCACCCCUGGCAACGCACAUCCUCCAACAAGAUAUGACUGCUCACUAGAAGUGCCUUUCUUGGACAUGAGUCACACUCUCCAGACCAGGAUCACGCCUGUUUGUGUUUGCUGAGAUAAUAAAUGAGUGGACAAAGAAGCUGGAGAUGAGACUCUCACAGAGAGGGCAAAAUGUAACUUCUAGAAAUCCAGCCACCCAGGAUCCGACAUCCUCUGCUGGAUUCCACUGGUACUUACACUCAUUCCUAUUCACACCAUUUAAAAGCUUUUGAGUGAAUCUUAAGAAUAAAAAAACAAACAAACAAGAGUAAGCAACCAAGCCUGGCAUUUAGCCCACGUUUCCAAAUUCCUAUCACCUUUAGAUGGGUUAUCUUAAUUAACGCUCAGAAUUAAACUACAAAGAGGGCUAGGGGUAUAGCUCAUUGAAAAAGGUGCUUGCCUGGCAUGCACUAUGCCUGGUUCUGAUCCCAGGGCACCUACACACAAAAGUAGAGAGAAGAGUCUCCUUCAAGGGGGUGAGAGCAGUGCCUAACACCACGUUAGCUAACACCCGACAGUCAUGAGCACAGGAUUUCACGUCAUGCCCCAGGUGAUCUGCACGAGUCUUCAUUGCUGUCAUUUAAUUCUACCUGACAUUUCUGUUUACCAUUCUGAUUACCAAGGGAGAUAUGUGUAGUUUCCUAUCAUCCACCGCAGUGUUAGCAAAAUGUAAGUCUUGACCAUGAAGGAAUUCAGAAGACAUGUGUUUGGAUCUACUUGGGGCCACGCCACUCUUUGCAAGUGUUUACAAGAUGGCUGCCUCAGUACACAGAGGUGCUCUAGCUAUAAGGACGGAGGGCAUAAAAACAGUAAAGCUGGGCUCAGGGCACAGUGCACUGGGAGAGUGAGGCUUAGAAUGUCCAAGGUCCCGAGCUGCCUUAUGUUUACAAUGAGGCAAAUCUGAGCGAGGGAUAGUCAGGCGCUCAAAGAGAAAACAAGUGGGAAAGAAUGGAAGCGUUUGAGAGACUUUAAGCUUUGUGUUUCUUCUCUGAAUCACUUACUUCUCCACCAAGUUACUCUUUAUGUUUACAAGGUCUUGUCUUUCCCAUUUGAAAUGUGGUUGGCCUGCAGCUGGAGAUACUGAACACUGCUGUGUACAAAACCCUAAGCUCUAUUCUCAACAGGUUUUUAAAAAAAGGCUAGUCACUCAGGCUUCAGCAGACCAGGUUGUGACUCACGGGGCUGCAGUGGCCAAGAACAGUGUUACAUCAACAUAGCAUAAUCAUAAAGACUUCUGCCUUUAUUGUCUGUUACAGUCUAUGCCACAUGAGACCCUAACCAAGUUCUUUCACCUGUAAGCCAGAAAUCAGUCAAGUUAACAGUGAAAGAGCUGAAAACGGAUACAACUGAAGAGAGAACAACUGAUAAGGAUUCCUCUUUCAGAGCCAAACAUGAGGUUAGGUUUAAGUGGAGGCCAGAGUUGAUAGUUUUCUGAAU
ensembl:processed_transcript